rnacentral:lncRNA from 1 species
UCCAGGGAUGGGGACUCCCCCACCUCCCUGGGCAGCUUGUGCCAGUGCAUCACCGCUCUUCAAAGAAGAAAUUUUUCCCUGAUAUCCAAACUGAAUAUCUUUCCUAAUAUCCAUCCAGGGCUGCCCGGGGGCAGGGGAGGAGCUCAUUCCCAAGCAGCUCCGUUCCUGUCCUCGGAGAUGUGGCUGGAAGAGGACAGUGGGGACAGUGGGUCCCAUGGGAUCAGGCUACACAAGGAAACCUUUCCCAUCACCCCAGCACCGCUUGUGCACACAGCAGGAGGACAGAGCAAAGGACUUAGAGGAGCAUACUGAGCCGAAGUUCAUCGUGGAGGUGGCUAAUCUCUCCUUCAUGCCCCUGUACUUCUAAAAAACUGUACGAGUGAGCAGAAAUCCGCCGUAUUUCAGACAUCCUGUGAAAGGUUGGAUCCCAGGACAGCCGCCCCUUGGGGAGGAGGAGAUGUGUGACCUUGUUUCGCUGAGCAAGCACAUCUGCGGCUGCGGUAUGCAUGCUGUAAGCACUUGCAGCUCAGGCAGGGAGGAGGUCACGUUGCAGGCGGGCUACCUGCCAUGUGGGGCUCGGGGGGUUCAUGCAGCAGGAUGAGACACAGGGAAUGGAAGCAGUCAGAUGAAACCACAAAAGCAGAAGGAGAGCUGUGCGCAGCCCCUUGCAAAGCUGGAAAAUGACUUACACCAUCAAUGCACCUGCUUCGUUCUAACAAAGCAACUGCAUACGGUCCCAUCCAGCUACAAGGGCUCAGCCAGGAGAGGUGGGAUUCUGUAAGAUCAGUUUUCAUUGCGAUUUUGCCUAAUUAGUCUCUGAUAAUUAAUGCUGUGAAUGUAACCGAGAUGUAAUCAGACAAAAUGUUGGGAAGUAAACCCCAUGGAUGCCAUACAUCUUUUGAUAGUAAUGAUUAUGUUCUUUUUUAUUAUUAAAGAUCCCAUUAGAAAGAAUUUAUGAUUUUCCUCUUUGUGAGAGAAAUAAUAAACACUACAUUGGAUGCUCUUAUUUUUUGUAU